rnacentral:lncRNA from 1 species
CACAUCAUCGCUUACAUUAGAAUGGAUAAUGGCAAACUUACUAAACAAUCCUGAAAAGUUAGAGAAGGCCCAAAACGAGAUCGAUUCUGUUAUUGGCCAUGAUCGUCUGGUAGAAGAAUCAGAUGUUUCGAAUCUACCUUACCUUCAUUGCGUCAUCUUAGAGACCCUUCGACUAAACACCACGGCGCCACUUCUCAUCCCGCACGCGUCAUCAGCUGAUUGCACCAUAGGUGGAUACUUUGUUCCACGCGACACUAUUGUUAUGGUGAAUGCAUGGGCUAUUCACAGAGAUCGUGAGUUGUGGGAGGACCCAUUGAGCUUCAAGCCUGAAAGGUUCGAGGGCAAUGGCAGUGAAAAACAACAAAAGCUGAUAUUGCCUUUCGGGCUAGGACGGAGGGCAUGCCCUGGUGCAGCCCUCGCUCAGUGGGUCAUGGGGUGGACAUUGAGCUUGUUGAUUCAGGGUUUUGAUUGGAAAAGAGUGAGCGAAGAAAAGAUUGACAUGACGGAAGGCCCAGGAACCACCAUGCCAAAGGUAGUACCGUUAGAAUUAAUGUGUAAAGUACGCCCUUGUAUGAAGAAACUUGUCCCUAAAGAUUAAGUUGGUCGUUUAGUUUGUGCUAACUGGUUGGUUGGCAUGCUUUCAUGUUGUAUGUAGUAAGAGUCUCGACUUUUUUGUAUUUACAUCAUUUUCCGAUCUAUUUGUUUUCAUUAUAAUAUGGAGGUUCCUAGUGUAAAGAAGAGAUAUGGUGCUGAUGGCUAGGAAUGUACUUAUUUGAACCCAGUAUUACUUUUCUUAAACAACUUUAUCAAUUAUGAAAUUAUAGGUUUAGAGUAUCUUUCUUCGUACUUUAAUUGUCUCUUGCUCUUGCAAGGUCACAUUCUGCCUUCUUGCAAUUUUAUUUCUUUUCUCUUUACACAUUUUUGCCUUUGGGCAAGUUACUCGUCUCGAAUUAUCUUUCUACAAAUUUAGCACAAGAAUAUGCCUUUUCCAAUUUUUCUUUGGAGAAUAGUCAUAGAAAGAUAAUUAGUUGCUAAAUUAGUUACACACUAAUGUUCUACAAAUAAAAUUGAGCGCCCUUAUUCAAGAGCACAAAUUUACUACAUGAUUUAGCAUAUUCAUCAAUUUUAAUGUCUUGCUUACUAGCUUAUGAUGUACAUCAGCAAGUGGCAAUAGUAUAUGCGCCCCAAGAUUCCCAGGGUGUUUUUUCGUUGUUGAAAGAGACAAGUCAUAUUUAUUCAACAAUAGUACAUAGUGAACAAUGAUGGUAGGACUCAAAACAUAAAAGGGUAAGGAGAUUGAGGGGGCUUGGAAAGCCAAUUAGAGGGAAGGUUCCGAUUUCAGUGGGUGGGCUUUGGCUACUGAAUCUGCAGCUUAAUUGGCUUCCCGUGGAUAAUGGGCUAGGGACAUGUCAUUUUAUUGGGCCAAAAGAUUGGAGCACUCCAUAAAGAGUUGCUGGAUAACCCAUGAGCUCUAGUUCACUCCUGAUAUGCCAAUAAAUACUAAAUAGGUUACCAAUUGGCAAGUAGAUGUACAGAGCUACUUGAGAGAGUUGAUUUUGUUUCUCCUUCAGAGUCAACAAUAAGGGUGUGCAAAAGAACUGAAAACUGUCCGAAUCACUUGGAACUAGACUAGAACAAUUUCCAUGGGGGUUGGUCUAGUUCCCGGUUCCAAUUUAGUGAAACCGGUGAGUACCGUUUCGAUCCCUAGUUCUAGGCGUGGAACCACUCGCCCAUGCGAGAUCGGUAUAUAUCUAUAUAAAAAAAAUUCCAUCUUAAUUAUUUAAUUUUUUUUAUAGUUUUCUACCAAUAUAUGUGUAUAUAUAUGUAUAUUUGUAGUUAUUGGAUAUUUUUGACUAAUUUUGUCUCUUGGGUAUGUAAUAGGAUUAACCCCUUACUUUUUUUUUUUAAAUUCUAAUAAUCCAUUUACUUGCUUUUUCAACCAAAACAAAAUAAGCAAACGUAAAUGAAUGAGAGAACCGAUUGGAGAUAUUCAUAAGAGCCAAAUGGUCAUUUUAAGAGUAUAAUUAGGUCUCUCCUUAGCCACUUCCAUGAUUAAAUUAGGUUAAUGUUGAAAAUAGAUGAAUCAAGCAAUUAAUAUUUUAACUUUGGUGGUAAUUAGGACUUUUAACAUGGAGUCUAAUUCUCCACAUGUUUUCAAUGUCUGAAAAUCUUAAGAGGACUACACCAUAACCUUCAAAGAAAUUAAGUUUUUAGCUAAUGAGUAUUAUCUAUUUGUUUUGCCUUAAAGUUUUCAAUCUGUAAUCAAAAUUAAUUGCUUGCAAUUUAGCCUAAAUAUAAGGUUGAAUAAGCUUUGUAGGGAUUGGAGAUCAGUUCUAUGGAUCCACUCGAGAUCCGAACAUGGACUCAUCCAAGAACCAAACUAGACUGGUGGUCCGGUUUGUAGGUAGAUCCAUGGACCAACGGAUGGGUCUUGGUUCCAAUUUUCUGAAAUCGGUCCUUAGUGGGUAGUUGCUGAUUCCAAGGUGGGAAUCGUUCACUUGGAUCAUGCUCACCCCUAGUCGACAGGCAUGCUUUACGGCAAGGGUUUUGAGUUCCAUAACUACAAUUGCUUUGUGCUUGAGUGCAAAUCCCAUAAUAAUUGUCUCGACGAACUCCCUUAAUCGAGCCCUCUAGAUUGCCAUCAAGCUGAGAGCAAUUGACAUUGAAUUUCCAGCUUCCUUUGUCACACCCCAAACCUCGAGCACGUGCCCAUCCCUCGGUGGUCGAUAAAAUUUGCGACGUCCCAGGACGCGUCGCCAAUCUAUUCAUUUUAAUGCACAUGCGGAAGUCAAUUACUAAUCCCCUAACAUCAACAACAUGAGAUAGAAAAGCAGGAAACAUAUUCACAAACAAAACAUGCUUUUAUAUAUACAUUGAGUCAACUAUAAAAGUCAACAACCAAAAACCUACAAAAGACCGGCUCUCAAAAGAAGUUAUCCCAUUUGACCUACACCUUGGAUCCCCUUAGCUCGGCUCCAGAUCCUCCACCCUAUGGUCUUGAAAAGAAUUGAGCCCAUGACGGGGUGAGAUAUAAAUCCCAGUGAGUUCACACUCUAAACUCCGAUUAGGAGGGUAAUACGCUUAGAGGCAUCCUAACCACACAACCACACAACCAUAGAGACUUACCUCAUUUCAGAUCCUCCCUGCAUGUCAGCACAAUUCAUAUCACAGACAGCCACAAAAGCAUGAGCAACAAAUAAGCUCAUCAACUGGAAUGCCACACUCAAAUUCAACCCAAUACAAAAGGUCUUGAUUUUAGGGCCAAAUUGUUAUGAUCCGUCCUAUACCGUGCCACACAAUUUUGUCCCAUAAUUCGGCACGUUCAACUCAAUUAAUCAUGCGUUCCUAGUUUUGAUCUCGACUUAUAGCACAACCUACUCGUUGUUCGGUGGUCUUCUGGCAUAGCCAGGCGUCGUCUCACCCCAUUGAGCACGGCUACGUCUUUCUUAGAUGGCUUUCUCGAAGGAGCAAAGGUCCAAAAUCUACUACAAUUGGCUUCUAUUGUCCAGGGGCAUCCCAUAUGGGGGCAACGUUUAGCUCAAUAGCUCAGGAUGGGUUCUCUUAACCAACACGUGACUAUUCAAUCUCGACCUAGGACACCGUACAUUGCACUCAAAUGCCUCAAUUAAAAUGGUGAACCUGACCUAUUUUCUUCAUAUUAAAAAUACAUGGUAAAAUAGUCGUGUGUGGGUACGGUCAACUUGACUCAGAAAAAGUGAUAUCCUCCAAUUUAAAAUCCCACCGUUUUAUAUAGAAUAUAAAAUCAUUUUCAGUGUUAAAGUCCGACACCUAAGAUUUUCUGAAUAAAUAUCAAAAAUCACAAAUUUUGGAAUAAAUGGCCAAAAUUCCAAUUAGCACUCAAUUUGCAUGAAUUAACAUCCAAUUGCAUAAACUGAACACACCAUUGCAAUCAGCACGAAAUUCUGGUCACUGGCUAUCCCGGUCUAAUUUCUAGAAAAUAUUAAAUAAUUAAAUAAUUACCAAAAUUAAUUAAAUAAUUCAAUUUAAAUACCAAAAAUACUAACUUAGGUCGGAAAUGCUUAAUUAACGCCUAAAUGGGCCGAGAAAAUUCCCGAACCUAUCUAGAUAAAUAAUACAUCCUGUCUAAUCCUUAAUUAAUAUAAUCUAACCACUUAACAUACAUAAUUGAAUAAUUAAAUCGCUAAUCUAAUCUAACUAACCACCUAAUCCCUAAUUAACUUAAACUAAACACCCUUUAAACAUAAUUAACUCUCUAAGCAGAUUUUAGCGAGUAAACUCACUGGUUUUGCAAUCGGCUGAGUCCACGGCGAUGGCGACAUGGAGAUGGGUGACAAACCUCCUAGCGGCGACACUAAACAAGGCCCAAAAGGUCUUAGAAAAGCCACAUGAAGUCUCAGUUGGGUUGAGAUCUUUAGCUUAUGCUCCUUGAAUUGAGGGGCUACUCGAGCGGCUGGUCGAGACCGAAACAGGCCAGGCAGCGACGGUGGGUUGCAGCGGGGCUAGGCGGGCAACAUCGAAGGUUGACGGCGACUAAAAUGGUGAUGGGAGGUCUCGAUGGCGGCCGAUAUGGCUUGGGAUAGCAAUUGGUCUCGAGUUGGAGGCAGGACGACAAGGACGCACGAUUGGGCUCGCGGUUGGCGUGUGGGCGCGCAAUGGGCGGUGAGGGAGCUCCAGUUGCUUCAAGCGGCUAGUCGACGGCAAAGGGGAGGGGCAGGCUCAGUUUCUCUGGUUUUCCUCAAGCUCUCAACAACACACUAAUGGAGAAAGGAGCUGCUGAAGGGAGAAGAUGGCUGCUGGUCAAGGGGGGCCACCAAAAUAUCUUGAACUUUCAAGUGACUGCCCCACCACCUUGGUUGUCUUCCUCAGCCCAUUUGUAGCAGCCAAAGCUUCAUCAACACGCCUCCAAGUGGUCCAAAUGUUGCACACCACCAAGGUCUACGAAUUUUGUGCGAUCCCCCUUCAAUUUCAUUCAAAUCCCCUUCCAAUCUCCCUCGAAUGGACUCAUUUUGAUGUCCAUAAAUCCCACCAAGAUGCCCACAUGUGAAUUCACAAUUUUCCUCACCCAUUGUCCAACUUGAAUCCUAAAAAUGUGACAAAAAAGGGUCCCUUGAAUUUUCCGGUCCAAAAUGACCUUAUUUUGAAUUUUCGCAAAAAAUCAUGGUUUGCAGAAUUUUUUUUGAAAGGUGAGUCGAGGUUCCUAAAAUGAAUUGAGACAUGACAAAACUUUCAAUUUUUGAAAUCGGGUUCAAAUUCUCGAUGAAUUUCAAUCUGGCGCGAUUUUAGCGUGACCUAACCUACCGGGUAGUUUUUAGGAAUUUUUGGUGCAAUUGACCCGUUGUCACUUAUUUUCGAGCCACAUUGUACAUCUUCGACACAUUAGUGACUCUCGAUUAUCGUGAAAAUCUUGAGAUUUCAAAUACGGACACUAGGUACAGAAAUGACAGAAAAAUCUGUCUAGUGCCAUUCGGCAGACAUUUUGCAAUUAGGUGGAAUCACCCACACACCAAUCCAUACCUCUAUCGAAUUAACCUAUCUUUAGUCUCUGAUCAAUUUUGACGGUGUUGUAAUAACUUUUGUAGAUUAGCAUGGUUGAGCAAUUGAUUCCUAAUCGAAUUCUUAAGUCUAUUGCAUUUAGAUUCCUUAACGGCUUCACUUGAUAGACUAGUUAUCUCGUGAGUAGCCAACUCAGAAAAAAAAGAAAAACUAUAGGCGUGUUGAUGAAAAGCCAUACUUAUUCAAUUGAAAACAGAACAUGAAAUUUCAGGAUUCACACCAAAUAUCAUAGUGAAUUUGAUCAAAGAGACCAUGAGAGAUAGAUUCACUAAAAUUAAAUGGCAAUGGAUGAUGUUUUUCUAAAAAAUAAGGUGGGCAAUCGAAACAUUUAUUGUCGACAAAAAUUAAAUAACCAAUAGAAAUAAAAAAUCAUCAUCUAGAGGAAGAAGCAUGAGCCAACUAAGAAUGACAAGUUUCAGAUGCUACUAUGGUAGCAUAACUACUGAAAGAGUAGGGAAUUUUGAGGUGACAAGCUCAACCAGGGGUCCCACCUUAUGGCCUAUUUCAAUGGUUGUCCCAUCUAUGGAUCGUGCACAUGAUAACCAUGACAAAAGAAGUGAAUAUUGAAACCGAGUUCACACAAUUGUCCUAUAGAAAUCAAAUUUAGUAAGAGUUUGGUAAUUAGGAAAAUAGGUAAGCAAAAAUUGGAUGUUAAACUCAUUUGUGAAUUAUCGGCUAUGUGAAUAGUAGAAGCAUGUGAAGUGAAAGAUUUAAUUGAAACAAAUUAGAAUUUGAAGGCAUAUGAUUGUAGAAGGCAGAGUUCAUGAAUAAGACUACUUGGAGUGACAAAUGUGGCAAAAGUUCUAGAGACAAAGGAGCUAGAAUUUCCAAAUUCUCAAAUAAUCUACUUGGAAAAGAAUUUAUGGUAGCAGUAGUAGCAGAUGGACUUCCACAUGGAUCUCCAAGUUUGGGUCAAUUGUACAGCCUUGUAGGUUGCGUAGGUUGUAGUCAAUAGCAAGUGGCCAUUAAAACUUCAAUUUAUCCAUGAUAUACGCUUAACUGAUUUAAACAAAGCAAAUUGAAUGGAAUGUAAAAGAAAACAAUACCUAGCAGUCGAAUGUGGAGAAACUAAGGUAACAAAUGGACUCAACACCUAGAACAAGGCAAAAACAGGUUGAACCAAUCAGAAAAGUAAUUAAAUCGGUGUGGUCAUUGCCCAUCAAUGGUGGUCAACCACAAUCAGCAUCGGUCAAAGAUGGUCAAUAAUCAACAAUCUAGGUCAACCAUCAACGAUCCAAGGCUAACAUGGGCUGUUGACGUGGUGAGUGCUGAAGUGAUGGAAGACGUGUCUUAAUGACGUGGUGGAUGACGUCAGCAAUGAUAUCAGCAGAGGCGAUUGACGUGUGGCAUGUGAGGAUGACAUCACCGAUGACGUCUCUCUACACGGCUGUACAUAGAUAAGGCAUGUGGGUGCAUGGAUCUCACGUGCAGAGACUUCUAUUGGCACGUAAAGGCACGUUUGUCAAUGGAUCCAGACACUAUCGCCGGUAUGUGACUUGUCAAAAUACAAUGAGGUUGAUGGUGGGAUUUAUUUCAUCUAUAAAAAAAAAAAAAAAACCAAAGCGUGGAAAUAUGUAUUAGAUGAGGCAAAUGGAUGCCAAGAAAAAAAAUUCAACUUAGGACCUCCUCCUCUAAUAUUAUAUGAGAUUUCGUGAUAAAACAGAAAAAAAUGUAAUAUUCUGAAUAUUGCCACGUGAAGAGUACGAGAACCUAUAAAUAGGGACAUAAUAUAAUUAUACUCGAUUACAAGUAAUUUAAACUACAAGUGACCUAAUCCCGACUAGUCAUCUCUAACAAUAUACAUUUUAUAUACAUACAUACUAGAAGUCAAAUUUCCUUGAGUAUCCUCUUUGGCUUUUGGUGGAGCGGCUUCAAUUAGGAGUUGAUCUCCUUUUCUUGUUUUCUAUCCAAAAGUCAGAAACAAUACAAGUCUAAUAUGAACUUUGCCGAUGCAUGCCGCAUUUGCGUACGCCAAAAAUCAAGAGUCAGAUUUUCACAUGUACUUUUUGAUCGGGUUUGUCUAUGGCGUUAUAUCAUCUCUGCUGUUUUUUCCUGGAUGGAUAGCAAAAAACUAAGUCUUCUAUAUAGUUUGAGACCGUGCAUGGACUUGUCCUUUUAAACUAAACUUUGUAUGGAGAACCCUUUGAGCUGAUGUAGAUACAUCAGAGCAUGAAACUUUGAAUUUGAGAAAAUUUAAGGUGGGGAAAUUUUUGUCGUCUGCCAAUCUUGACUGACCGAUCAAUAUCUUGGGUUCCUGCCUUCUCUUUAUUACUUGUUAAUAACACUUAAAUUAAUCUUUAUUCGUCAACAUUUAGGUGGCAGUUCUAUGGACUUGUUACCUUAAUUAUUCAAAUAAUUUCAAAGUUAAUGGUUGAGUUCCUUUAAUUAUGCUGACUUGCAUUUUACUUAUUCACUUUACCUCGAUGUACAUUAUCAUAUCAUGUAAACAAAGUAAAUUAAUUUAAAAGGCUACAGUAUGUUGUCUCAUUUCUUUUUAUGUAAUUCUGCGUGAGAAUUCUGAAGAUUAAAUUGUUUUUUCCAAGAUAAGCAAGGAUAAAUCAUAAUAGAGAUUCAGUAUUUAAAAAAGGCAGUUCUAUGGACUUGUUACCUUAUGUUUUCUACUCGUGAUGUGAUGAACUUGUGAACUUAUAUGUGGUAUAAAUAAAAGAAAUAGAAGUAUGUUAGUUAUAAUUGUAAGGCUUUAAUCAUUAAAAGAAUAUUCGUAAAUAUUUAUUUUUGCUUCCACACGCUAAAAGAGAUUAGUAAUAUAAAAUACAUGUGUUCAAUGAUGUUCUGAGAUGUCACAGCUUUGUUUUUGGUAUUAGAGUAGGUUAAUCUUUAGAGUGAUAAGGUGUGCUUAGUGAAUUGGGUAGUCGAUCGCGAACACAUGUGGAAUGCAUGUGUUUAUCUUGAUUGAUUGAACAAGUAACUUUGAUUACUUAUUAGUUAAAUUUGGCUGAUUGAAUAAGUAAUUUCUAUUACUUAUUAGUACCCACUAAGUUAAGCCAUAUGAUUAGGCUUUGUAAGAGAAAAUGAGCUCUGGUGAGAACUCAAAAUGAGAUCCUCGAAUGGAACAAAUCUUUCAGGCGCUAGCUAAUGUCAGAAGUUUGAUGGAGCAACAGGCACAACAACGGACUGCUUGUUUCCAAAACAAAUCAAUGAAUUUUCGAAGUGGAUUUCAAGUCUCAACCACAUUUGUUCAAGGCCUAUAAUUUAUCAAAUCGAAGGUUAUUGAACGUUAAUCGAAAAUCUAGAACAUCUCAACUCAAGAUUUCAAGGUUUAGGACCUCAAAUUUACUAGAACAAAAACUCAGUAUGACAAUCCUACAAAUUUUCAAAAAAGGCAUAUGAACAUAAUUAAUGUGUACAUCAGCCAUAAUCAGUUAUAGCACCUAUAAUCCAUGAUUUCAAGCAUAUACAAGCUCUUAAACUUUGAAUCCUAGCCUCAGUCAACUAACUUGACCUUGCUGCAUCAUAUUCAAGCGUUGGAUUAAUACCAUUGCAAUUUUCUUGAACCACGACCAAUUGAGCUUGAUCAAAACUUGAUCAAGGAUCGCCAAAGCUCGAGGACACGUCGAGAUGUGCUGAGGAUCGUCGAACAUCGCUAGAUAGCACCAUGAUAGUCACUGGUUGGCUUGAAGGAAUCACACCGGUGAUUAGGCCGAGAGGGAGAUCGGCCUUGGCGGGCUGAUCGAGUGACCUUCAAGGGACUUGGCAGCGAUGGUAAGGAUUGAUAGAUGGUGGAGGAGCUUGGCGAUGACAACACAUCAUCGAAGGAGAAUGGACUAGCAACGAUCAGCGCGACGAGAGAUAGUGAUUGAAGGAGAGUGUGCACGGGAAAGGGAGAGGGGGAGAGUAGGGGAGGAGAGAGAGAUUGAUCUUAAAAAUGGCCUCCCCGUUUUGAUUUUGGAGGGAAAAGUGGUUAUAUAAUCUAUGGCAAGACAUAGUCCUAAAGGGAUUGAUCUCCCUCGUCUAACAAACUUAUUUAACCCCUAAUUAAGCACAUGUUGAUUUGAACGAUCACGAUGCAUCUUCAGUAAAUAGUGACGAUCGAUUUUCGGGCUAAAUUUCAAAUUACGGCCUAAUUAGGGGUAUUUUCGUAAUUUUGAAAUUCUAGGGACAAUUGCAUAAUUUUGAAAGAUGAAGGUAUGGAGGUGUUGGUCAUGAGGUGAGCCACCUCGUUGUAGUUGUCGGCCACCAUGAGCCAGUUUGGAACCGGCCAUUUCCACCGAUGACUGGUCAUACUGGUUUGAUCGGUCAUCUUUUUUUGUUUUCUUUUGUACAAUUUGGUCCUUUGAAUCUUUGCUCAAUUGAAGGUCUAAAUUGGUAAAUUUUCAUAACUUCUUAUCUCAAAAUACCAAUUGGUUAAAAUUGAGUUUAAUUAAAAUAACAAGACAUUAAUUGAUUCAAUUGCCCAUAUUUGAGAUGGCCUAUCACAUUCAAACUGAAAUUAGAACAAGGGUGUGACCUUUACGUAAAAAAUAAAUAGAGGACCAAUGUCAAAAUUAGACCUCAAUCUAUCAAAUUGAACCUUAAUCUAGAAUAGGUCAACUUUUUUUUUUUUUUGGUCAAAAGGAAACAUUAUAUUCGUAUAAUCGGAAUAUUACAUCCUACCACAAGGGCAUUUGUAUACACAAGAUGCAUCAAAAGGUAGGGUGGGAAGAUAUUCAUAUUUUGGGCCAAAUUUUCUACUCGCUGGGCCUUAGCGGCCCAGUCGGCUACUACAUUGGCUUCUCUUCGACACAACUGCACUGUCAAAUUAGGGAAAAGGGACAUCGAAUCGACAACUUCGGCGAGCAAGGAAAGGAGUUCCCAUGGCGGCGAUCUCCCACCUGUGAUGGCAUCGAGAACGGUGCUACAGUCAGAUUCAAUCACAAGUCGUGCUCGAUGCAAACCUUGCCGUUGCAAACAUUGGAUCAUGAAAGAGAAGGCUUGGAACUCUGUAACCAGAGCUGAUGCGGCUGGAAAUCUACUGGUAUAGAUAUCGGUGAGUCUUCCUUGAUGAUCUCUGGAUAUUGAAGCCAUCGCUCCUUCUGUACUCCUUGGUUGAUAGGAUGCAUCAAUUUACAUUUUAAGGUGCCUGGAUUGGGUGGUCGCUAGAGGUGGGUAGGGAUCUAGUUUGCAAUAGCUUGUCUCGAAGAGGAAGGAGAAGAGAUCUGGUAAAGUUGAGUCUCUGUCAAAGCAACCUCUACUGCAAGGGAUGGAUCCAGCUAUUGAUUGCGGGAAUAUGAAGCCAUUCCGCAUUUUUCAGAUCUACCAACAAACGUUGGCUACUACUUCCAAAGAAGGUGAGUUGUUUGUCGAUACAAUUUUUAUUGCUAACCAUACGUCUAUUCGAUGGAGUUGGUGAGGCUGUAUGUCGAUGUUGAUCUGUGGAUAAGCCCAUAUUGGUUGAGUCCAUGAACAAAGUAGGACCAAAUGCUCUAAAGUUUAUAGGGUUUGCUGGUGACAUAGCUGAUAGUAGGGAUCGGUUAUGAUUUGUUGGCGAAACAAAUUUUCUCUGGAAGCUACUGCAUUUUCACAGAUUGACCAGAGAAAAGUCCUUAUUUUGGGAGCCGUUCGCAUUGACCAGAUUUUUCUCCAUAGUAUUCUAGGGUUCUGAUAAGAGGAUGAUGCCAUGUGAUUGUUGUUGUUGCUGGAGAUUGCUUUUAAAAUAUGAUAAUUGUUCUUCACUGUGUGUCAACCAUCCUUUGUUGCUAGCCAAAUUAAUUUAUCUUCUAUAUAGUGAGGUCUAACUAGGAUGGUUAGAAUCUCUUGAAUAGUUUGCUCAUCCAGAAAACGAUAGAGCAGAGAUGUGUUCCAGUUAUUAUGGAUUGGAUCUAUUAGAUCAACCACCAGUUGUGGCUCCUCUCUGGUCGCGGGUCCACCAAGAAUUCCUCUUGGUAACCAUGGAUCCUCUCGGAUUCUAAUUUCACUCACAUGCCGACGGACCAUCUAAGAUGUGGGAGAAUAGCAUCUCUACUCGUAAGAAUGCUCUGCCAAACCCAGGAUAGUCCCAGUUCCUUUGUUCGCUGACUUAAAUUCUGUAGAAUGAUAAUACAGACCCUUGAGUAGCUGACUCCAUAAAGCUUGAGGAUGUUGUAGUAAACGCCACGCUUGCUUUCCAAGCAUGGCUCUAUUAAAUUCAAUAAGAUCACGAAAUCCGAGCCUGCCUUUAUCCUUACUACCUUUGAUGAUAUCUCAUUUCUUCCAAUGUAUUCCUGCUCUAUUCAAAUCAUUUUUCCACCAAAAUCUUGCGAUACUCUUUUCUAUAGUUUUACAAAGAGACAAAGUUAGCUUGAAGACCGACAUAGCAUAAUGUGGAAUCGCCUGAAUCACAUACUUGAUAAGAAUUUCCUUACCUCCCUUUGAAAUGAACUUUUCUUUCCAUCCUUCUAGUUUGGAAUGAACUCGCGCUAGAAUCCAAGAAAACAUGUCCUUUUUGGAACAACCCCAGUCAGAUGGGAUUCCCAGAUAAUUUCCAUACCUUUGAAGCACGGGUAUUUGUAACUCUGUAGACAUAUUUUCCUGUAGUCUGAUAGGGCAAUGCCUACUGAAAAUAAGUUCGGAUUUGUUGCGAUUCAAAGCCUGCCCCGUGGCCACACAUUACUAAUUUAAAAUGUUAGCAAGGUUUUGGCAUUCCUAAAUGCUGUCGUCUAGGAAAAAGAUUGCAUCAUCAGCGAAAAACAUAUGGGAAAGGGUAGGGCACCAUCUAUUUAAUCUUAUACCUUUUAUAUGUCCCAUAUUGACUACUUGACUGAUCAAAGUUGACAAAACAUUCACUAAAAGAAUAAGUGGUGGCAAUGCAUUGCAUUACCUAUUGUACCCACAAUGGAUGGAAACCCAUUUUUAGAAGAUAGGCCCUAAGGAAAUCCUAUUCAACUCUGUCAUAUGUCUUUUGCAUGUUGGUCUUGAGAAUUGCAUUGAAUUUCCUGGUCCGCUUUCAGGUUUUAAAUUGAGGAAGAACUUUUUGAAAGAUUAAGAUAUUGUCUUGGAUCUGUCGUCCAUUGACAAAGGCAGUUUGUUCCAUAGAAAUCAGCUUAGGUAACCAAGGUUUUAGGCAAUUGGCAAUUACCUUCGAAAUGACUUUAUAUGCAAAGUUACAGAGAUUGAUUGGUAUGUACUGCUCCGUUCUCUCUAGAUGAGGAGUCUUGGGAAUCAAAGCUAUAAUAGGGCGGUUUAGAUUGGCCGGCAUCCGUCCUGUCUGAAAUUUUUUUUGAACUAGAAGAAUAAGAUCGUCUUUUAUAACCUCCCAAUGUGUUUGAUAAAAUAUUCCAUUGAAACCAUCAGGGCUCGGUGCCUUAGUAGAUCCCAGCUGAAAGGUAGCCCGACGAAUCUCCUCUGAAGUAACCACUUCCAGCAAUUGGUUGUUCAUUUCCUUGGUAACCACCUGUGGGCAUUGUUGAAUUAUGGGACUAUAAUCUCGAUGACCCAUCGCUGUAUAUAAACCUGAAAAGAAAUUGCGUGCCAUAACCUGUAAAGUAUGAGGAUCUCGAAUCCAUUGUUGGCGAUCAUCUUGAAGCAUGCUAAUUCUAUUUCUUUGCUGUCUUUGAAGAGUGGUCGCAUGAAAGAAUUUCGUGUUCUUAUCGCCCCACCUUAACCAUUAAAUUCUCGACCGCAUAACCCAGUAUUGCUCUUCUUGCUACCAAGUCCGCCUUAUUUCCUCUCUGAUCUUAGUUACUUCCUCUCUAUUAUAGUGAGCAUGCUGCUGGUUUAUGAUCUGUCGAAGAUGUUGCUGUAGAGAAGUUACUUUAAGAUCACAUUUGGAGAAUUUUAUCAGCUCCACUUAGUCAAGGCUUUAGAAACAUGCUUUAACUUUGAAAUUAGUCCAAAUCCUUGAACCCUCACUGAGUUUCAUGUUGCAGAUAUAAUUUCUCGGCAUUCUUCAUCUUCAUUCCAGAAAACUUCAAAAUUAAAAGAUUUCCUUUGUGCUUUAUAGGUUGCUAAAGAGUUGAUAAUUAAUGGGCUGUGGUCAGACCCAAUGAUGGGUAGUGCAAAGACCUCAGCUAUAGGGAAUAAUAAUUGCCAGUCCAUCGUACACAUCGCCCGAUCUAGACGUUCCUUCACCAGCUCAUGUCUCUCGUGGUUUUUCAUCCAGGUAAACUUACAGCCCUUGCUUGGUAAUUCCAUAAGGGAACAAUCAUUGAGGACAACUUGAAAGGAUAACAUUUGAUAGGGAUCUGCUUGUCUCUUUCCUAUAUUUUCCUAGGGGCAGAGUAUUUCAUUGAAAUCCCCCACACAUACCCAAGUAAUGUGUUGGCAUAGCUGAUCUCUCUAAGUUCAUCCCACAGAAUUUGUCUAUUGUGGUACACAAAAGGAGCAUGAAUACAAGUUAGAUGCAUAGUCCGAUCAUCUUGGAAAUCCGUGUAGAGCAUAUCAAAAUAAUCCUGCGUUGAGCAAAUCACAUUUAAGCUUACCUAAUUGUUUUCAAAAUAGCACCAUACCUCCUGCCAAACCUGUGGGGUUGAUUAUAUGGCAGUUAUUGAAGUGAAGGCAGCGCUGAAUCGAAGCUUCGCCUCAGUAUUCUUUGUUUCCAUAAAAAAAAAAAAAAACUAUAGUGGGCUUUUCCUUGGUCGUCAUGACCUUAAGAGCUUAAACUGUCGGGGAGUUGCCCAAUCCCUAACAGUUCCAGCAUAUCAUCUUCAUUUGUGAGUUGGUGGCUGUUGAGGGCCAGCCACCAAAGCCCAAUUUCCAGCUUCACUUGCUACAAACACAGGUGUCUCCGUGAGAUUGGAGUCGUCUAGGUUCUCUAGUAUUAAGCCUGUAGUGUUGUACGGAGUGUGUCUUUUCUAUUUUUUGGUGACACCCACUUUCGGUGUCAAUUUGGAACAUCUCAGCUUCUUAUUUAGUUGAACAUCUGUAGAUGGAGUCUGAAUACCCUUCAUUUUAGCUGCUGCAGGAAUGAGCACAGUGUGGAAGGAUGUCUCUUGCAUAAUUGCCUCCUUAGCAUGUCGCUGAUCAGGGAUCAUUACCUGGAUAGCUGCCAUAGUGAUUGGAGUGGUAAAAGUGUCUGCUGCCAUGUGUCUUGGAGGGGGCAGAAGGGGGAUAUUCUGAAUUUGUGAUGGAGGCGUUUUAGGUAUGCUUUCUUCAGUCACUCUCUAUUUUCUUAUGGUGAGUAAAAGAUGCACCAGUAAGGACUGCAUUCUUUUCCUUCAGCCCUUGUCCAUAGAUCAUUUUGUCCUAUCCUUCUAAUUUAGCGUCAUCAUAUGGAAUAUCCUUACAAUACAUAACAUAAUGUCCCAAUUUGCCACAAGAGUAACAGAAAUGGGAUAGACGCUCAUAGCAUAAAUCAAGCCAUAUAAUUUUUCCAUUUAGACGGAUGAAUUUCCCUAUUCUUAAAGGUGCUUGUAGGUUUAGCUCAACUCUAGCUCGACCAGCCCAUAAUGUAGCCCCUUCUUUGGUGUAAAUUCUAACUUCUACUACGCGUCCCAUGUCUUGCACAACUUUUGUAAUUAUUUUUUCUAUAGUCCAUUCUAAUGGUAGACCAAAAAUCUGUACCUAGAAAAGACAGGUUGAAAAAUCAUAACAGUGUAAAGGGGUAUUAGGCUGCCACAACUUAAGAAUGAUGAGGUGGCCUGAAAAAAGCGAAGGACCUCCUUCAAGGACCCUUUGUUUGUUAGUGUGUGAGUUAAAUUUUGCCACAUAUAUCCCUGUUUCUCUCUGGGAUAGAUCGACUUGUUCAAUCCGCCAAGCCCUCUUCAAAGUACUUUGGACAGAGGCGUGAAAGGAUUUGCUACUAAUGUUAGGUUGACAUUAUUCCAAUUUUUCAGGGGAAGGAUUGUCAUCUCAGGACUUCAAUCUGUUGCUCAGUAUUAAGGCGACCCAGUCUGGAACAAAGAGAAGCCAAAUGCGCAAAUUCAUCCGGUUCACUAAAAUCCAUUCCAAUGCGAAAAGUAGCAUCACACAACAGAAAACGAGGGAAAACCAUAAUCUAAACAAGAACAGUCCAAUUGCACCACAGAAUUGUCUGAAGAUAGAAGAACCUCACAGAUCAACGGAUACACAGGGGCAAGGAAACAUGCAAAGAAUGAACCAGUCGGAGAAGGUGUUUCGCUUGAUUUUUUGUCCCGCAACCAAAAUUGAAAGAUGACGGAGAUGGCCGAUCGGAAAGGCUAACUGGGGUGAAAGGUAAUUGACAACAACUGGGGUUGAGAGGGGGAAUCGAGGAAUGGAAGGAGGGUGUCGGUGGAAUUGGGGAUAGGGUUUCGGUGAAAUUUUGCUACCUAGAGGUAGAUAAAAACUCUACAUUGUCGAGAGAGAGAGUAGGAUCAUCACACUCCAGGGGAUUCCGAGAAUAUGUCAACUUGAAUUACACUAAUUAGAGCUCAUUAGCUUGAUUUUUUUUUUGGUAAGGGCAUUAGCUUGAAUUUUUCAAGUUCAAGUAAGUUUAAAUCCAUCAAAUUGGCAAGUUCUUGAGUGUGAAUUUGCCAAAAUUGACCAUGGAUUUGGAUUUAAUUCAAGAAAAUGAGUUGAAUAGAAAUGUUGAUAUGCAAAUUGUGAAGGAUCAAGUUGAACCCAUGAUUAGGGCUAAAAAUGACAGUUUGAACGCCUACAUGCCAAAUUCCAAAGCUAGCCAAACGAGUGAAUGGGUAAUGAUUUUUAGAUCAAAUAUUGCAAAAGGAACUACACUAAAAUAUGAAAAGAAUAAAAGAAAUUUUAUUUUUGAUUGAUUUUGAACCUAAAACCGAAAAUUUUGAAAAAUGAGAUUCUUAAUUGAUUUUUUGCAAAUUUUUUUAUGCUAAAGUCAAAUUGAAGCUAAAACAAAGUGAUUUGUGGAUUUUUAUAUUUAUCAAUAUAUUCGGUUAAAAAUUUAACUAAAGUCAACCAUUUAGUAGAUAUUUUCCAAAUGUUUGAUUUUAUGAUCAAAUCUUUGAUUUUUUUCCAAAACUAAUGUGGCCAAAGUGAUAUAAGGCUAAAAUAAAUCUUUUUAUGUAAAAAGUCAAUUUGUAACCUGAGAUUGACUUUUGAUCAAAGGGUUGACUAAGGGGCUGCAUGGUAACAUUCCUGUUCUUUUUUUGUUCCAGGGAACAGAAAUAUAUAAAAAAAAGUGUUUCUGUUCCGGGGAACAGUUUUUGAACAAAAGAACGUGUUUGGUAACGUUUGUUCCGGGAAUAAAAAAUGAAUAGAAACACGUUUGGUAGAUUUUAUUCUUUUUUGUUUCUUUUAAUUUUUUAAUAUUUUUAUUUUAUUUUUCAUUUCUUUUUUAUUUUUUCUUCUCUAGUGACCGGCUGACGGGGCCGGCAGCCUCGCCCAGCCACGGCGACGCUCCGACGAGGUCGCUGGCCCUCGACAGCCGGUCACCGGCCAUGGCCAUGGCCGGUGACCGGCCAAAAAAAAAAAGAAGAAGAAAAGAAGAAGAAAAGAGGAGAGAAGAAGAAGUGUUUCUUCAAAAUUGUUUCUGGAACAGGAAGUAACUUUUUUGUGUUUCUUUUUUUUGCUCCAAUUUUGUUUCGGGAACAAAAAAACGAAAAAAGAACAGAAACGCAACCAAACGCGUUUCUGUUCUUUUUUUGUUCCAUGAACAAAAAAAGAAAAAAAGUGUUCAGAAACAGAAACGAGGAACGUUUCCAUGCAGGCCCUAAAAAGUCAAUUCAAAAGUCAAUCAUUUGACUUUUGAGUUUUCGAUAAAAAUGAGUCGGAAAUUAUCUACAAAUGAUUGGCCAAAAUAAAUAAAUGAAAAAAAAGACACUUUGCUCUCGAGAAAUGGACUUUGUCAUGAUCAGAAACUCCAAUCUCGAGAUUCUUACCUUUAGCGACGUAUCAGCUAAAAAUCAAGUGUCAACGUGAUCCUUUAGUGAAAAAGUGACCGAUAAUCUAUUGGAAGAAGACUAUAUAGCAGCAACAUUAGCAGAUGGAUGUGCAUGUAAACCUUGCCUUCAAAGUUGAUUGUUUAGCCUGGUAGGUUGCUUAUAUCGUAAUUAAUAAUAAUCGGAUGCCAUAUGACCAUGUUAGUGAUAGUGCUUCCAAAUUUUCUCCAUUAUAUGCACUUUACCUUGUUAAACACAGUAGGUUGGACAAUAAAAGCCAAAAAUGAACUUAGCGUGUCGAAAUACCUUAGGGAUUGGUCAUAAAUCCCUAAAAAACCUGUCAGAAAAUGAUCAAACCAAUAAUGGAAUGAUCCAACCGAUCUGAUCUAAACUGGUCAAUGGUCUGGUUCGGUCUCAACGGUCAACAGUCAGAAGUGACAAGGUGCUGAUGUGCCAAAUGACAUGGCAUGGACAUGUCGAAUGAUUUGGCGCGGAGGUAUCGAAUGACAUGGCGUUGACAUGUCGAAUGAUGUCAACUAAGUUGAGACUGUGGCGUGUCUCUGGCAAAGCGCAUGCAUCUCACGUGCAAAAUCUUUUGGUGGCACGUGGGGGCGCAUCCGAUGGCUUUCGGUAGCGAGACUUCAUAGGCUGCUUCAUUGGCAGACGAUGAGUCAUAGGUUGGUAUUUGUUUUUUGAAAAACUCGGGGCUAGGAGUCCAAGUUACCACAAACAGUGGCGGGUUUCCAGGUCCGAAAUGCGACGGCGCGUGGUGAUGUGUGGUGGCGUUCGGUGUCGCUUGGCGACGAAAUUUCAGUAUUUCGCUCUUCCAAGGGCAACGAGUCAGAUGGUGAUGACGGUUUUUUGAAAUGAGCAACUGAAGUAUUCCAACUAACGGCUUCGGUCUUGGCAAAGAAUCGGUAGAAACAUGGCUAGUGCGGCUGGCAUCGUAGUGGCCACCGUGUAGCAAACUUGAUGGGUGCACUUCAGAUAACAAUGGCUCUAAUAUAAAGUUGAGAUUUGAGAAUGAAGAGAAAAAUAAUAUUCUGUUUACUAACUAGUGAGCAGUAGUGUCUACUUAUAUGUUUCUAUUUAAAGUAACAAAUCAGGAUUAAUCAAAGAAAAUAUAUAGAAUCACAAAAUAUCCUAAAUAUAUCUUUACCACUAUUAAUUCUACAAGAGAGUUCAGAAGAUCAUAUUGUGUCUUCAAAAUAGAUGGAAAAUCAAUCAUAGUAGAGAAAAUUCAGUAUUUGAAAAUGAUUUCACAAGCCUCACAAUUGUAUAUGAAUUUUCUUGAAACUCUACAACAUAAAAAAAAUUUCUAAAUUUUAAUCCAAUGUAUAAUGUAAUUCUUGAAAUUUUAAUUUGUUUAGUGCACUCCCUGAACUUUUAAUUUCUUAUUGUAGUCCAUAAAAUUUUAGUACAUAUUUAAAUUAGUCAAUGAAUAAUAUAAAAAUGUUUAACAUUGUCUUUCCAUCAAUUCAAAUUGAAAAUAAUAUAAAAAAAUUUCAUAUAAUUCAAGAAAUAAAUAUAAUAUAUACUAAAAGUUUAGGAAUCACAUUAAAAAAUUUAAAAUUCAAAGACAUAAUACAUAUUAAGUCAAAAUUCAAAGGUUACAUAUCAUUUUGCCCAAGUAAUAUCGUACUCCUCUCUCUCUCUCUCCUCUCUCGCUCUCUGGUGGUCCAAAGAAACAGACCGACAUGUGAAGCACCGAAACGGAAUCAAUGACGAUAUCAUCUCAUGGUACUGAGAUCGCUUUCAAUUUCUUCUGCUCAUCUCUAUAAUUGAAGCACAUGGACAAUGCGUCAUCGAAUCCGUCAACCAAUGGGAGGGGGAUUCUGACAUGAAUUUGCAGUAAAUAGGAGUCUAUUCUUAAAAAAGACUUUACCAUAGUAACAUAAAUUUACGAUGUGAUAUUAUAUUUUUGUGUUUAACCAUAAGACGCUUCGUAACGCAUUUGUCACAUUAUAGAGGCGUCCUCAUCUUAACUGGCAACUUCCUAAUGAAUUUGGAUUAUGAUUAUCGAGUUUAUUUUUUUAUUUUUAACAUCAUUUGAAAAUAUAGAAGGUGGUCUAAUUUACAAACAUCACUUAUAGCAAAUUGUCACGACCCCAACUCUAUCUCCAAGAUCCUGAGCAACACAAGUUACUUUUGUGACGUCUUAGGCUCGUCGCCAUCCCGAUUCUUUUUAUCUCGUUAUCAUGCACAUGUGAAAACGUGAAUAAACAAAUCCCUAGACAAACAAUAGCUGAAAGACUAGGACCUACAUCAAGCAGAACACACUAAUUUAUAUUAUAACGGUAUUUUUACCAGCCCCUUCUCUAUGGGCCAUCUUUUCUUUUUACAUCACAAUACAAGUUUUCCCACAUAGGCCAGAGAAAUCCUAUUUCCUCUCGCGUGAUUGCAGCUCCCAAAAACUGACGUGAGACUUCUAUGCCUACACGACUGAAAGAUGAGGGAUGAGUUUUGAGGAACUCAGUAAAUAAAAUUAAUAUUUCUCUACUAGGAAAACAUCUCAUCAUCAAAGGCUAGCAAGUACAACACUCGCAAAUAGUGUCAAUCACAGAUCAAUCACAAGUCUAUUGCCACCUCUCGACUAUUUGUAUGUGAUCCACUUUAAACUUACAAAAUAAGCUAUUUCACCAAUCAAGCUUAUCAACAGUACAUAGUAACACACCACUGGCUCAGGUGGCUCCGCUAGGUAGGCUCCAGACCUCCACGGGGAGGUCGGGAGUUCGAAGCCUCUGCAACGUAAGUUGCAGGGAGGCUGGUGGAUCAUUAGGCGAUUUAAGCGUGGCGUUGGGGUGGUGGUUUCCCUGCUAGCGUUACCAAGGGGUUUACGGCGCAUUGUCGGUGUAAGCUGGUUCCUCCUGUCACAAAAAAAAAAAAAGAGUACAUAGUAACACAUACAAUAAGUUCAUUAACCGUAUCAAUAGUUUUUCCUAUAUUUUCAGGGGCUUCUAGCUGCAGGCUAAGUAUUUGGCCUCAGGUCAAGCAUCCAAUACUCUCAAGGGCUUUUCAUACUUUUAAAGGCUUCCUGACUCAAGCAAGGCAUCCGGCCAUCAGGCCAAGCAUCCCAUACUUUGAGGGGCUUCCCAUACUUUCAUCAACUUCCUAGUUCAACUAGGGCAUCCGACCAUCAAGCCAAGCAUCCCAUACUUUCAUGAGCUUCCUAAUUCAACCAGGGCAUCCCUUUCAAUGAACGAUGCAUUACCGCCAACACUAUGUGACGAUGGGCUUCCUAGCUCAACUAGGGCAUCUGGCCAUCAAAUCGGACAUCCUAUACUUUGAAGGGCUUCUCACACUUUCAAGGGUUUCCUAACUCAACCAAGACAUCUGGUCAUCAAGCCAAGCAUCUCAUACUUUUAAGGGCUUCCCAUACUUUCAAGGUCUUCCUAAUUCAACUAGGGCAUCCCGGUCAAUGAAUGAGGCAUCGCCGCCAACCCUAUGUGACGACGAGCGUUUUUUCCCAUUUAAUUACACACACAAAUGCAUCACACAAGUCGAUUAUUUUCUUUUCUCUUAACCGACACAGGCAUGAUUCGAAGGCGUGCUCAUACAGUCGUGUGUACCAUGAGUUCUUUCACUACAAAAGUUCAGCUUCUCAAUUUAGUGACCUCCUAGUAGAACCCUCUGACCCAAAAUUUAUUAUCUCCCUCUCACUUUUGUGUGUGAGUCUCAUGUGCCACAAAUGUGUUGUGUCUUGAUUUAAAGCCUCAAAGAAUCUAGUAGAUAGGCAAAUUACUAUCGUUCCCAUGAGAAGAUAUAAUUCGCACUCUAUUUUUCACCGCAUCAUAGUAAGCACACCUUGAGAGACCUUCAAAACUCCAAAUUAAGUGGAGAUUCGUUAUUUGAACCCAUCAAGAGCACUCAACAUGAUAAAGUUCCUUCUCAACUCAAGUACAUGGAUUGCGUUUGUACACAACUCUUCCAUCCACUAUUUUUAGACUCUCUGCAAUCUUUUCUACAUCAGAUAAUUGAAACUUACGCAAAACGUUGACAUGCCCGUGUCUUAAUGCUCCACAACUCAGAAUUGUUCCUCCCUUUGAACUUCUCACUCUCUACUUUCACCCCAAAUACAAUUGCAGCAAUAAAAUUUCUCAACAGUGAUCAAAAAAGCAAAAACCCUAGAUUCACUCUAGAAAUCCUAAGCUUAGCUCUAAUACCAAUUAUUUGAAGAAAACAUAGAAUCCAGUGGCUCUUACAAAUCAAGUUAAAUGCAAAAGAAUGAAAUUACUAGAGAGAUUAAUGAUGAACGAUAAGCACACCGAAGAUUUACAUGAUUUAGUUCAAGUGUCAAUACUUAGUCCAUGGGAGAGCCAACCACCAAGAAAUACACUCUAAGCACACUGAUGAAUGUUAUUUCACAAUCUUUCAUAUGGAUCUCACUCUAAAAACUCAUAAAGAGAAAAUCUGAUACUCCUCUUGUUUGCUCUAUUGCGUCUAAUAUCAUAGUAGAUUUUUUAUUAUAUGUAUAAUAUUCCUACUUAAAUAAGAAAUCCCUUUUAGGAAACCUAUUCUAAAUAAGAAAUCUAUUCAAACUUUUGACAUAUUCUCAAUAAUGUGAACCGUCUGCUCUAAUGUAUAGCUUGGAUUAAAAUUAAAAGACCUGACAGAAAUCAUAGAACAAAAAUGAACAAAAGUUAGGGACGUAGAAGAAAGAGCAAUGCGAGGAUAAGUCCAGUCACCGUCCAUACAACAUUUUGAGCUUUGAAUAUUGAUAUUUAAAAGUAUAAGUUAAAUCCAGAACCUUCCAGGAUUGGACAUAUGUAUUAUUUGUGGACCCACGAGCACGCGGUCUUAGGAGAUAUGCAUCCGUUGAGGGUCCAGCUUUGACACGGAAACCAGAGCAUUGGGGUAUUUGAGCCACAUUUUCUUCUGGCCGUGCAUAAAUGCAUUCCUCACCACUCAUUUUUCUGGAUAAGACAUCCAGUACCCCUAAAGCACGUGAAGAAAAUUUGCUUUUCUGUGAAAAGGGAAUGAGAUAGAUCUUUUAACUUUCGCUAUAGCCUCUAACAUCACCGCAAGAAUUUUACUACCACGUCUAAACAGUACCACGAAAGUACAAAAGUUCUGCGGCAACACAUUAUGUUUGUUUUGACUCAUAACUCUUGUUUAUUUUUCGGUGAGUCUAUCACCAUUGCACCACUGUAUCGCAAGUAGUAAUAGAGCUUAUAUAUUCAUAAUCUAGUAGAACCCGAAUUAAAGACACAGACGAUUGAAGGUUUUUCGGGACCGAGAACUGCGAAGCUAUCGAAUCGGUAAUGAAAGGGGCUUGAAAUGAUAUGUGAAGGGAAUUUCUGAUUCCCAAAAACCGGAUUUGACAUUAAAUCGAACCCCUAAACUUGUGCAGAAGACGAGCCCGGGAAAGCACAUGCAUCACCGAUCCUAAGGCACAUCACAAAAUCGAACGUACUUUGUUAGCCACAGAUUAAACACCGACACCGAUAUGAGAAAGAGAAUUUGGUUCUGUUCGAUCCGAUGACACCAAUUCGCCUUGAAGGGAAGAUAGUGUUGUCUCUUUUGUUUUUGUUCUUUCUUUUGGAGGGAGAGAGGGAGGAGGAACGUACGUUGCUUCAAAAGGUGCGUUCCUCCCUCUUUAUUUCCCUCUUAUAUACGUUUCCUCAAAAAAGAAACGUGUCCUUUCAUCAUAUUCCUCUAUCCAUGGGCUAUAAUAUUAUGGGCCAAGCUUUUAGGCCCAACAUGGGCAGACGAGCCGACUUAGGCCCGUCACAUUAAUAAUUAAAACCAUAAAUAUGAAAAUUUAUCCUUCAUCAAUUAGCCAACCAAAGGAAGGUGUAAACGUGUAAUAGUCAAUGAAAACAAUCUUACGUAAUUGAUGAGUUCAUUUUUUAAAGUGAAAAUAUCCAAAUACUCCAAUAGAUUACGCCGACAAGUUUUCCCUCGAGGCUUCUAGGAACCAGAUCUGAACUCUCUGAUCUCUAUAUAUACUAACACCCACAUGCGAACGGUCUCGAUCGGCAAUUCGUAACACGAAGCAAAGAAAAUUCGAUGGAAAACACAGUUCAGUAUGCGAUCCUCCUCACUGUCCUCUCUCUAGUUAUUCUCUACUUCUUCCUAACAAGAGAACCCAAGAACCUCCCUCCAUCCCCUCCUUCUCUCCCUAUCAUUGGCCACCUCCACCACUUGAAGUUGCCCCUUCACAGGACCCUUCUCAGCCUCUCCACUAAGUAUGGCCCCAUCAUGACCCUUCGGUUCGGGGUCCGCCGGUUCGUGGUCGUGUCAUCACUGCCGCUGGCCGAGGAAUGCUUCACCAAGAAUGACGUCGUGCUUGCCAACCGCCCGAAGCUGUUCAUUGGCAAGUACCUCGGCUAUGACUACACCACCCUCAUCUUGUCGUCCUAUGGCGACCAUUGGCGUAACCUCCGGAAGAUCGCCACCAUCGAGGUUCUCUCGUCGCACCGCAUCAAUUUACUCUCCCAUGUCCGGAGGGACGAGAUCCGGCGGCUGAUGCUCCGUCUGGCCCAGGGCAGGUUCCAGUCCCACCACAGGGUCGAGCUCAAAACUCUAUUCUCAGAGCUGACGUUCAACAUCAUGAUGAGGAUGAUUGCAGGGAAACGGUACUACGGCGAGGGCUUGACCAUCGACGAGGCUGAGGCAAGGGAGGCGAGGAAGCUGAUUAAACAGAUUGUUGGGAGUGGCGGGACAAGUUACGUUGGCGAUUUCCUGCCCAUACUAAAGUUGGUCGAUUACAAUGGGGUCAAGAAGUGGGUGGUUGAGCUGAAAGAGAAGAUCGAUGCGUUCAUUCAGGGCUUGAUCAACGAGCACCGGAGGAAGAAGGGCGACCCAGAGCUCGCAGACAGCAUGAUCAGUCAUCUUCUGCAUCUACAAGAAUCUCAGCCGGAAGACUACUCGGACUCCAUGAUCAAAGGGCUUGUCCUUGUAAGUGUUGUUUCUUAUUUCUACAUCUGCCUUUUUAUUUUUAUUUUCACUGGACAAAUCCUGCGCCCCCGCCCCCGCGGCCCGCCUCCCUCGUGAGAAUUCUCGCGGCAAAGUUGCCGUGUCUUGCCAGUCGUCCAUUCUUGUUAACUUGAUAUAUGUCGUCGGUGGUUGCAUUAAAAUGUUGUCAAUGACAACGGUUAAAUUGAGUUGGGCAACUUAGACAUGCUCAAAGUCACGGCAGCCUAGAAUUGACCGCUUUAUAUUGCUUUUGUGUCGAAGAUUUAGAAUGCACUUCCACCACAAAUGAUGAUAAUACUUGCAAUGAUGGUGAAAAAUCUUAGGUUUCGUUUUUCAAUAAACAGAAAUACGUCGCUCUCUCUCUCAAAUUUAUUUAAAUUUUGAGUAGUACUAUUUUACUGAAUAAAUGUGUAACAGCAGUUGCCAUCAUUAUUGUCGUUUUUUCGCACAUGUAUUGUCAAUUUUCCUCAAGACUGAAUUUCGAUUGGGCGGAUGUUUGUGGUGCUGGGCAAUUAACUCUCACCCCUCCACUUGGAGCAAUCCCUUUCUGUGCUCUUCGUAGAAGAUAAUGAUGUUUCACAUAGAUUUAGAUGAAGGGUCCUAGUUUUUCUGAUUUUGGGAGUUCAUAAAAGGAGCGGAUUUGGAUGUGGAUUUUUGGGAUUGGCUUACCCACGAAUCUGCUCAACCAGACUUUGCCUGAAUUAAUUGACCCCAAAAACAACACUUUCCUUUUUGGUCGUUUGGGUUCGUAAAUUGAAGGGGUCAGUUAUCAAAUGGAGCAAAGGAAAAAGGAGAGACUAAUAAUGUAUGGAAGGCAAAAAAAAAUGGUAGUAAUGAUUGAUUGAGUAGAGUUGACUUGGUUGCAAUUUUUCAAAUAGGAUCUGACUUUACUUUUUGAAAGAUUAGGACUUGAUUGCAUAUUAUGCACAGCGUUUAGGACUAUUGGUGCAAAUGCCAAUCUAUAUAUCAAGUUGGAACAGCUUAUUAAGACUUCAAAGUCUGCAAUAAGAGAGUCCAAUUACUAAUUGAGAUUUACUUUUUGUAAAAUGUUAGCACUCUUUCUUUUUAGAUUUUCUCCAUGAAAUCGUAUACGUUUAUGCACCUUCACGACCAUAUACCAAUUAUACCUAGUGAUUAUCUUACCAAGGUGUGAUUAGUUAAGACAUCAAAAGAUCCCUAAUCGAACGGCGUUGAGAAAAGUAGUCUAAUGAUUGGCAGAAGCUGAUUUGUAGGAAAGAAAUUUUCAUUACUGGGGGGCCUAUGGUAAAGAAACUGACUUAUUUUGUUUUAUUCAUCAUUUGAAGUCUUAUUAUCUCGACUUUUGCAGUUGAUUUGCACAAUAACUUUUUAUACAUGUACAGGUUUUGUUAGUUGCGGGAACAGACACAUCAUCGCUUACAUUAGAAUGGAUAAUGACAAACUUACUAAACAAUCCUGAAAAGUUAGAGAAGGCCCGAAACGAGAUUGAUUCUGUUAUUGGCCACGAUCGUCUGGUAGAAGAAUCGGAUGUUUCGAAUCUACCUUACCUUCAGUGCAUCAUCUUAGAGACCCUUCGACUAAACACCACGGUGCCACUUCUCGUCCCGCACGCAUCAUCAGCUGAUUGCACCAUUGGUGGAUACUUUGUUCCACGCGACACUAUUGUACUGGUGAAUGCAUGGGCUAUUCACAG